rnacentral:rRNA from 1 species
UACGUAGGGGGCAAGCGUUGUCCGGAUUUAUUGGGCGUAAAGAGCGUGUAGGCGGCCAGGUAGGUCCGUUGUGAAAACUGGAGGCUUAACCUCCAGCUGUCGAUGGAAACCAUCUGGCUAGAGUCCGGAAGAGGAGAGUGGAAUUCCUGGUGUAGCGGUGAAAUGCGCAGAUAUCAGGAAGAACACCUGUGGCGAAAGCGGCGCACUGGACCACAACUGACGCUGAGGCGCGAAAGCUAGGGGAGCAAACAGG